GAAAGAGAGAAGGGAGGAAUGUGGAACAGGGAGAGAAAAUAAGGAAUGUGGAGGAGGGAGAAGAAAAGUGGAAAGAAGCUUGAAUGGGGUACGAUAAGGAGAGGAGGAAGGAAUGUGGAAACGAGAGAAGAAAAAGGGGAGAAAAUUUAGAAGAGGAGAGAGAAGAGAGGAAAGGAGGAGUAAGGAAAUAUGGAAGGGGAAAGAAGUGGAAGGGAGAAAAGGAGAAGAUAGGGAGAAGAAAAACGUAGAUGGAGAAAACAUGGAUUGAAAAGAGAAAGGGAGAAGGAAGGAAGAUAGAACAAGCAGAGAAGGAAGGGAGGAAACGUAGGGAGAUAAAGGGAGAAGGGAGAAAUGAAGUUGCAUAAGAGAAGGAAAGUGAGGAGUUGGCGGAGGAGGAGGAGGAGGAGGAGGAUUGUAAAGGUUAAUAACGGGGGUGAGGAGGCAUUUGGAAAGGGCAGCGGAUGUAAGGGAGGAGGAGGCAAGAAGAAGAGGAAGAAGAAGAAGGGCGGGGCUUGGGGGAGGAAGGGAGGGGAUGGUAGGCCUAUAGGGGAGAGGGGUGAGUGGAUGGAGCAGGGAGAGGAGGGAGGAGGGAGGAGAGAGCAGGAAGAGGGUUAUGUAACAGGGAGAAACAGGGGAGUCUGGAUGCGGGGAAAGGGAGGAUGAGGAAGAAUGGGUUUGGAGGAGGAGGAGGAGGAGAAGGAUUUAGUAAACAGGCUUGAAGGGGCAUCGGAGAAAUAGGCAGAGAUUGGCAGGGGUGGCUUGGGACGAGAUAGGAGGCAUAGGGACGCGAAGAAGAGGGAAUGAACAAAAGAAGACAAGAAGAAAAGAUAGAACAAGGGACGAAGAAAGAACAAGUGGAUGAAAGAAAGAAAAAUAGAGAAAGAGAAGGAGGCGGUUUGAUAGAGAAAAAGAGGUAGAGAAGGAGGUAAAGAAAAAAGAUGAGGGGAGAAAAGAAAGGGAAAAAGGAGGAGGAAGAAGGAGAAGAAAAUUGAGAAGGAGAGAAAAGUGUGUUGGUGAAGAAAAAAAAUAAAGGUGAAAGAACAAAGAAAGAAAUCAAAAUAAAAAGAAGAAAAGAAGAAAGACAGAAGGAAAAGAAAUAAAAACAAAAAUUACAAGAAAGAAAAAAAACGAAAGAAUAAGAAAAAGAAAAUAGUUUGACAAAAAAAAGAAUAGAGUAGAAAAGAAACAGCUAUAGAAAGAUUGUGAAGAAAAGGGAGAUGGUAAUUUAGGAGGAGGAGGAGGAGGAGGAGGAGGAGGAGGAGGUGAGUGAGGGGAACACGUAUUCAGGAAGGGACUGGGGAAGGGGUGUAAGGCUGAUAGGCACGAGAUGGCUUGGCAGGCAGGAAGGAAGAGGCAGUUUAAUAUCGAAGUUUGAUAGGGGUGGGAUGGAACAUGGGAGGAGAGGGAGGGAAAAGAGAGAAAGGAAAGAGAGAAAGCAGAAUAAUAACGAAGCCAGCAAGAAUGGAAAGAGGGAUGGAUAGAAGAAGAGCAGGGAAGAAAGGAAACAAGAAGUGAAGGAAAUGAAGACUACUAACGAACAAAACAAGAAAAUAAAGAAAAUGAUAGAAGAGAAGGGAAAGAAAGUUAAAAAAAAUUAAAGAAAGAGGGAAGAUUACAAACGAAGCAGACAAGGAAAGAAAGAGAGAAGGAGAGAAGGAAGGAAGGAAGGAAGGAAGGGGAAAGAAGGGGCAAAGGAAGUUAAGAAUAAAUGUGAGAAAGAAAAAUGACUAAGAGCUUAACACGAGAGGAAGAAAGAAAGGAAGGAGAGAAGGAAGGAAGGAAGGAAGGAAGGGGAAAGAAGAGACAAACGAAGUUAAGAAUUACAGAGAGAAAGAAAAAUGACUGAAAUAAACACGAGAGGAAGAGAGUAUGGAAGGACAGGAGAGAAGAAGGAAGGAAGAAGAGAAAAAAAGUAAAAUAUAAAGUAAAGAAAGAAUACGCUGACGAAGAAAGUAGUUUGGAAGGGAUGGGAGGUUGAAAAAGCCAUAACGAGAGAAUGUUGAGUGGCUUAGAAGGAAGUGAAGGGAAGGGAAGGAGCGUCUUGGAAUCACAGAGGGGAUGAUCACUGAAGAAAAGGAUUGACAAGAUGAAAAAGAAUAGGAAAAAGUGGCUUAGGAAGAGUGGAAUAGAAAGGGGAUUUAGAAAGCCAUAACGAGAGAAUAUUGAGUGGCUUAGAAGGAAGUGAAGGGAAGGGAAGGAGCGUCUUGGAAUCACAGAGGGGAUGAUCACAGAAGAAAAGGAUUGACAAAAUGAAAAAGAAUAGGAAAAAGUGGCUUAGGAAGGGUGGAAAGAAAGUAGAUUAAGGCUUACAUAGGUGGUAGGAGAACACAGGAAAUGACUUCGAUGAGGAGGAGGAAGAAGUAAUUAGCAAGAAGCUUCGAAAUGCAAGGUUAGAGGGAAGAGGAAAGAGGAAGAAGGUGGCUUAGGAAUAGGCGGAAGAAAUUAACAGGUGGUUUAAAAAUUGAAGUAAAAGGGCAGGCUAAGGGAGUGGAGGGAGCAGAGAGGGAGUGAUUUAGGUAAGAGGUAAGGGGAAGGAUUUAACAGAUGGCUUAUAAAUGGGGGUAAAUAGACAUGAGAGGAUAAGGAGAGAUGAGAGGAAGUGGCUUAGGUAAGGGAUGGGCCGAAAUGAGUUAAUUGGGUGGCUAGUAAAUAGUAACGGAAGAAAAAAGGACAUGAUCAGAGAAUAAAGGAAGUUGAGAGGAAGUGGUUUAAGUAAGGGGUAGGCGGGAGGUAGCUGACAGGUGACUCAUAAGUACAGGUAGAAAGGGACAGGAAGGGAAGUCGUUUAGGUAAGGGGUAGACGGGAGGUAAUUGACAGGUGACUCAUAAGUACAGGUAGAAAGGGACAGGAAGGGAAGUCGUUUAGGUAAGGGGUAGACGGGAGGUAAUUGACAGGUGACUCAUAAGUACAGGUAGAAAGGGACAGGAAGGGAAGUCGUUUAGGUAAGGGGUAGACGGAGGUAAUUG